CAGCAGCCGCGGGAACACGGAGGGUGCAAGCGUUAUCCGGAUUCACUGGGUUUAAAGGGUGCGUAGGCGGAUCUGUAAGUCAGUGGUGAAAUCUCCAGGCUUAACCUGGAAACUGCCGUUGAUACUAUAGGUCUUGAAUUUUGUGGAGGUUAGCGGAAUAUGUCAUGUAGCGGUGAAAUGCAUAGAUAUGACAUAGAACACCAAUUGCGAAGGCAGCUGGCUACACAACUAUUGACGCUGAGGCACGAAAGCGUGGGGAUCAAACAGGAUUAGAACCCCCGUAGUCCCUGUCUCUUAUACA
rnacentral:rRNA from 1 species